ACCUGUUUUGUUGGUGGUCAUUUAACCAUGCAUGCUUCGAUCGAUGGAUUGGUGCAUGCAUGGAUUAUUGCAUAGUGUGAUGCAUGUGGCGCAUCAGUGCAUGGUUAGAUGACCAUCAGCAAACAUGUU
rfam:Zea mays cultivar B73 chromosome 5, whole genome shotgun sequence.